rnacentral:tRNA from 1 species
UGGGAUUAUAGUUAAUCAUAACAUUUGGGUUGCAUUCAAAAAGUAUUGAAUUUAUUCAAUUAAUCUCA